CGGGUUGUAAAGCACUUUCAGUCGUGAGGAAGGUAGUGUAGUUAAUAGCUGCAUUAUUUGACGUUAGCGACAGAAGAAGCACCGGCUAACUCCGUGCCAGCAGCCGCGGUAAUACGGAGGGUGCGAGCGUUAAUCGGAAUUACUGGGCGUAAAAGCGCAUGCAGGUGGUUUGUUAAGUCAGAUGUGAAAAGCCCGGGCUCAAACCUCGGAAAUAGCAUUUGAAAACUGGCAGACUAGAGUACUGUAGAGGGGGUAGAAUUUCAGGUGUAGCGGUGAAAAUGCGUAGAGAUCUGAAGGAAUACCGGUGGCGAAGGCGGCCCCCUGGACAGAUACUGACACUCAGAUGCGAAAGCGUGGGGAGCAAACAGGAUUAGAUACCCUGGUAG
rnacentral:rRNA from 1 species